CGACGAGACUUUUUAUUUGAUGCUUGCAUCUUUUAAAAGUUGAGUGGCGAACGGGUGAGUAACACGUGGGUAACCUGCCUUAAAGUGGGGGAUAACACUUGGAAACAGGUGCUAAUACCGCAUAACCAUCAAAACCGCCUGGUUUUGAUGUUAAAGAUGGUUCUGCUAUCGCUUUAAGAUGGACCCGCGGCGUAUUAGCUAGUUGGUGAGGUAAUGGCUUACCAAGGCAAUGAUACGUAGCCGAACUGAGAGGUUGAUCGGCCACAUUGGGACUGAGACACGGCCCAAACUCCUACGGGAGGCAGCAGUAGGGAAUCUUCCACAAUGGACGAAAGUCUGAUGGAGCAACGCCGCGUGAGUGAAGAAGGUUUUCGGAUCGUAAAACUCUGUUGUCAGAGAAGAACGUGUGUGAGAGUAACUGUUCACGCAGUGACGGUAUCUGACCAGAAAGUCACGGCUAACUACGUGCCAGCAGCCGCGGUAAUGCGUAGGUGGCAAGCGUUGUCCGGAUUUAUUGGGCGUAAAGGGAACGCAGGCGGUCUUUUAAGUCUGAUGUGAAAGCCUUCGGCUUAACCGAAGUCGGGCAUUGGAAACUGGGAGACUUGAGUGCAGAAGAGGAGAGUGGAACUCCAUGUGUAGCGGUGAAAUGCGUAGAUAUAUGGAAGAACACCAGUGGCGAAAGCGGCUCUCUGGUCUGUAACUGACGCUGAGGUUCGAAAGCGUGGGUAGCAAACAGGAUUAGAUACCCUGGUAGUCCACGCCGUAAACGAUGAAUGCUA
rnacentral:rRNA from 1 species